GACGUAGGAUGCGAGCGUUGUCCGGAUUUAUUGGGCGUAAAGAGUUCGUAGGCGGUUCGUUAAGUCUGAUGUUAAAGACUGGGGCUCAACCCUGGGAGUGCAUUGGAUACUGGCGGACUGGAGUGCAGUAGAGGCAAGCGGAAUUCCCAGUGUAGCGGUGAAAUGCGUAGAUAUUGGGAGGAACACCGGUGGCGAAGGCGGGUCUCUGGGCCGUAACUGACGCUGAGGAGCGAAAGCGUGGGGAGCGAACAGG
rnacentral:rRNA from 1 species